GAUGAACGCUGGCGGCGUGCCUAAUACAUGCAAGUCGAGCGAACAGACGAGGAGCUUGCUCCUCUGACGUUAGCGGCGGACGGGUGAGUAACACGUGGAUAACCUACCUAUAAGACUGGGAUAACUUCGGGAAACCGGAGCUAAUACCGGGUAAUAUAUUGAACCGCAUGGUUCAAUAGUGAAAGACGGUUUUGCUGUCACUUAUAGAUGGAUCCGCGCCGCAUUAGCUAGUUGGUAAGGUAACGGCUUACCAAGGCAACGAUGCGUAGCCGACCUGAGAGGCUGAUGCCGGCCACUGGAGCUUGGUCAGCGUCCAGACUGCCACGGGAGGCGCCAGUAGAGAAUCUUCCGCGAUAGGCGAAAGCCUGCCGGAGCAACGCCGCGUGGGUGAGGAAGGUCUCCGGAUCGUAAAACACUGUUACUGGGGAAGAACAACUGUGGAAGUAACUAUGCACGUCUUGACGGUAACUAGUCAGAGAGCCACCGCUAACUACCAG
rnacentral:rRNA from 1 species